CCUACGGGAGACUGCAGUGAGGAAUAUUGGUCAAUGGGCGGGAGCCUGAACCAGCCAAGUAGCGUGCAGGAUGAAUGCCCUACGGGUCGUAAACUUCUUUUACAAAGGGAUAAAACGCUGCACUUGUGCCGUUUUGCAUGUACUGUGUGAAUAAGGACCGGCUAAAUCCGUGCCAGCAGCCGCGGUAAUACGGAAGAUCCGAGCGUUAUCCGGAUUUAGUGGGUUUAAAGGGAGCGUAGAGGGGUUGUUAAGUCAGUGUUGAAAGUUUGCGGCUCAACCGUCACAUUGCAAUUGAUAAUGGCAGCCUUGAUUACACUUGAGGGAGGCGGAAUUCGUGGUGUAGCGGUGAAAUGCUUAGAUAUCACGAAGACACCCGAUUGCGAAGGCAGCCUACUAAACUGCCACUGACAUUGAUGCUCGAAGGUGUGGGUAUCAAACAGGAUUAGAUACCCUGGUAGUC
rnacentral:rRNA from 1 species